GGGGGGGGGGAGCGAAUUACCUCAAUGAUGUCAGCAUUUUCCUGCCAACCUCAGCGGUGAACAGCAUGGCUUCCUGUCCGCCAACUCCUGCUGUCACUUCCAACACGAGGUCGCUCAAAUCAUCUUCCUCCUCUUUGAUCAAAAGGUGUAAUAUCUGAAACGGUGGGGCAGAGUGAAUUAAAAUGCAGCACUCGGAAAGCUUACAUUCUAGAAGCCCCUGUAAUAGAAAUGAAGGGGCCAGAACUAAACUAUACUUGACUUCUGAUUUCAAAACUGGUAUACAUCGACAUGGAAUUUAAAUGUAAUGGUUAUGUUAGGAUGCCUCAACAUUCUGUGUGGCUCACAAAGUUGCAAAUAAAAUCCUAAAUUACAGGAAAAACAUGUUUUUUUUUUAAUGAUAGAAGAUUAAUUAACUACCGUCUGCCUAAGGUCACGGAUGUUUUCCAAACAGGCUUCCCUCUCCUGCUCAGCCAGUUCUCGUAGAUCUUCAUCUGUGGGAACACCCAUCAUCAUACAAUGGCUUUCUCACUUCCCGAGAAGACGGUCUCACCAUUGAGAAGCUCCUCCGUCUCGCUCAUCUCCUUCUGCUUGAUAUCCAACUCCCUGAUGGUGUGAAUGAGGGGAGCCAGGAGGGCCACUUUGGUCCUCUUGGCUCUCAGCUCCUCCGCACUGCUCUGCUCCUGCUCAUCACUGUUGACCACUCUCAAGCACUCACUAUAGUCCGAGUCUAUCUUUUUCAGGUAGUCCAGCAGUGACGUCCUGGAGAAUAGUUCAUCGAGGGAUAAUAACUUGGCUACCUUCAGCCGGCUGGUAGUGUGAAAAGUUCUGAUGCAAUGAUGAUGAAACCUAGCACAUGUAAUUACACUUGAAUGAUUUCGAAACGCACACGUGAGCAAGUUAAAGGCAGACUUCUUUUGUUUCGGUAGAAGGUGAACAGCUAUUCUGAAAAACAUGACUGAAUGAUUGGUGUCUACUCCAUAUCAGAAAGAGUCAGGAUUCUGUGCAUUCUUUGCAGUAAGUAGAAUAGCGGCAGAACAUUCAAUCAAUAAAGUUGCACGUUAAGAGAACAAAAUACAGAAUGGGUCACCGGAGAUUGUGAUAGUUCAUGACGAUGAUGCAAAUUUUUUUCGUACAUGUUCCAGACUGACAA